UCAUAAUCUGUUUGGUGGAAGCAAUAAGAAUUAUUUUUUAUUUUUAUUUUUCACUCAGAAAAUCAGUUUCUCUCAAACUCUACCCGAUACAAAAUUUUGCACUUCUUCGAAGAAAUCGAAACCACUUUUACCUGGGUGCGUUUCAAGCGGCGAUCAACAACAGCGAGAUCCCUAAUCUUUCGCAGGAGGAUCAACAACGGCGAUUGCCUUGUCCACCGCUCUUACAUCGCUCUCGGUAGCUACUAGCUUGUCAUCAAUGAGAUCGACGAAGCGUCCGCUACUCCUCUGCAGGCAGUCAAGCUCCUUGCUAUGUAUCUAUCGAGUCCUGAAAAUAAGGAAUCAACCAUUUCAAGCUUGAAGGAAUGGUUGGCAGAUCCAACCGUAGGAAACAAUGCUACUAUUCGUUUGAUUGCUGGACAAGAACUCUGCUAUUGCUGGAAGUAGAAAGAUCGUACAUACCAAUGUUUCUUCAGGUAAAUAACUUCUUUUAUGAAUCCUGUUUUUUUUUCUUUUGUAAUUUACGGUUGCAUAGAUAUGGAUUGGUUUAUGAUGAUAGAUAUUGAUUCAUGUUAUUGCUGAUAUUGGUGUAUGAUUGAUGGUUUAGAGCUUGUUGAACAGAUAUGGUUUCAAUGCUUUGUACUGUUAGGUUAUAGAUAGAAAGUGAAAAAAUGGUUACUGCUGUGUGAUUAAUGCUGCUAGAUUAUGUAUGUACUGUAUGUUUGUAAUUUAAAUUAAUGAAA